rnacentral:lncRNA from 1 species
GAAUUCCACAGCCCCCACCCCUGCCCUCAGCCUCCUUCAAAGUGGCCGCUGGGGCUGGGGUCUGUCUUUGCAGAGGUGCCAGGCCACAUGCCCUGCCCACCUCUACCAGCUAUGCCGCCUCUGAAGUUCCUCCAGCGGCACUGAGGAGGGGCCCUGUGGUCGAGGGUGCAGUUAAACGAGGCCCGACCGGGUAGUUGAGCUCAGCUUGGCUGUACUUGUCUUCCUUGGACCUGCUGGGCACCCCCAGCCUCCCUCUGCUUCCCUUCCCAGGAGGGCCAUGGUUAUAGACACAGGUUCGGAGUCAGCCCCAGCUUGAAUCCUGCUUCUGCCACCAGCCCUGUGACCUGAAGCAACCAUACCCGGAAGCCCCCGAGUUUUGAUCUGGCCCAGGUAGACCGAUCAUUUCCUCCAAGUCCCCCUUCCCUGAGGAGCUGGCGUGCUUCAGUCUCACAGAAUGGGCAACUGAGGUUGAGAGAAAGGAAAUAACUUGUCCCAGGCCAGCAGCUGAGUCACGACCAAGGCACUUCGUUCUUCAUCUAGUGCGGCCUGUGCAGACUUAAGUCACCUGUGUUGAACAUGGGAGUCUUGACCACUUUGUUCCUGCUCUUCCUGUCAGCCAAAAUGCCUUCCCAUGAGCUUGCCACAUAACCAUGGGUGGCUCACUGGACUUUCAUCUGGGCAAAGAGAAGGGUGUGCUGACACUACUCAUGGCUCCUUCAUCUGGGACCUACCCAAAUCCCGUGGCUUUGCUCACAAUCAUCUGAUCCUGUUGUGCCCAAGAUGCCUGCUCCCAUGCCUGGAUACCUGCUGCAGCUGCUCCAAGCCAGGACCCUGCCAAUCUGUCAUUUUAGAUCUUCAGCUCUGGGUUGGUCUUCCAGGUGCCUCUGCCUCCCAAGGAAACCCAAGGAACUCCGCCAGAAAGGGAAUGCCUAAAAGAGCAGCAGUGGGGACUGUAGGGGUCCUCCUGCCUGCCCCUUUGUUAUCCAGAGUGGGGCCCUGACUUGCCUGAAGUCACACAGGGACUCCGGUAUUCCAAUCCUCGGCCUUAAGAUCGCUGCUAUCCGGUUACUUCUAUCUAAAAGCCCUAGAGAAGUUUCGGGAGACACUCAAAGGGCCCUUGUCUGGUUUCCAGGCUGACCAACUCUAAUGGAGAAAAAGCUCACUCACUAAGCAUACAUCAAAUGCCAGGCGUAUAGAAUCCUUCAGUGGAGGGAUCAUUCUCCCCAUUUUACAGAGGAAUAAAGUGAGGCUCAGAGUGAAUGAAAGACUUUCCCAGGUCACA